rnacentral:rRNA from 1 species
UACGUAGGGUGCGAGCGUUAAUCGGAAUUACUGGGCGUAAAGAGUGCGUAGGCGGUUCUCCAAGUCCGUUGUGAAAGCCCCGGGCUCAACCUGGGAAUGGCAGUGGAAACUAGGGGACUGGAAUCUGGUAGAGGGGGAUGGAAUUCCGCGUGUAGCAGUGAAAUGCGUAGAUAUGCGGAGGAACACCGAUGGCGAAGGCAAUCCCCUGGACCUGUACUGACGCUCAUGCACGAAAGCGUGGGGAGCAAACAGG